UAUAUAUUUUUUUUUACAGACGCUCAAUUUUCUACAAGCAGGAACUUUUGAGUUUUGCACCGUGUUGAAAAGAUGAAAACACUUUUAUUUCCUCAACAGUGAAUCUUUCUUGUUUUUUCGUCUGGGCGUUGAUGAACAACUUUCCACCUCAGUGUCAGCAGUGUAAAAAGUUUCAUCAGUCCUGCCUACAUAUGUGUUUUUUUUUUCUUUCCUCUUCCUUUCACACAGACGUUUAACAACUGAGACUGUGGUUCGAACAGGUGAACACAAAGCUUAACGUAUCCCGCUGUCCUCAGGCCCCACAGAGCACUCUUAUCUCAGGAGAGGUCGUGUGUGCUGGAUUGCUGAGUCACCUUUCGUGGGAGGCUGCCCUUAUCUCCUAAGAAGCACAACAUUCAGGCAGUUGGUUGCAAAAGGAGGAACUUUGAGCAGGAGCACUGUGGCCUGCUGUGUCUUCACGGCCAUACUACGGAUUGCAGCAAUGCUCGCUGACUUCCUCAAAGCUACAAGGGCCGGCGCUGCUUUGUCUGCAAGGUCAGAAGAGGCUGCAGCUUUUGGACGCAUCCAGGUAUGAGAAGGCUGCAGGAUGAGCGACUCCAGAGGCCACGCAGAGGGAAUGCUGGGACUGAAAUGUGACUCAGUGCUAUCAGCGAGCGCAGAGGGGUCCGAUUGUGACUGUGGCCUUCCAUGAACCAGAGAUACUGUCCCGUCCCAGUGACACAGCAGCUUUGCUCUGUGUGGCUGUGGCUGAGAGGCAAAAUACUGUUAGGACAAUGAUUCAGCCAAGGUUUUAGAGAAGUUACUGCAGAGGUGGGAUCAAUACUCAAAGCUGGCUGAGUUGCCGAUCAUCAUCCUGAUGUUUGACUUGUACAAAAACCUACAAACUGAAGCAUGUUUCCACAGAAGGCUUCAAGGUUUUAUAAGAUUACUUAAUUUUGCAGCAUUUUAGGAUUAUACUACAUGUACGCGGCUGUAAUCCACGGCUGCAAAUCAAACUAAACAUAACCCUCUGCUCCUUCAGGUUAAUCCACAACCUGAAGCAAGCCAUGUUGCUGUAAUUAAUAUCAUUACCUGGCAAGUCUCAAAACAUCAUCAGGCAAUGUAGCCGGUCGACUACCGAACAAAAGGCUCCGGCUGGUUCUUAUUUCAUGGAUCUUUAAGCAGUAUUCACUGUUUCACAUUUGGAAGCAUGAGCAGCAUGUAACCCUUAAUUGGUUUCAACACCUUAAUAAGUCAAAGACGUUCAAGGCUGAUAAUCACAUUAAAUAGUCCAAUUUAUCUAAAAAGUCAAUUGCAAACUGAAAAACUCUCUUUCUUUAGGAAUGCAUUAUGCUGUGAGGAUGUCAGAGUAAAUUAAAUUCCCCUCUGCACACUAAA